ACGGAAGGCAGCAGUGGGGGAUAUUGCACAAUGGGCGCAAGCCUGAUGCAGCGAUGCCGCGUGAGGGAAGAAGGUUUUCGGAUUGGAAACCUCUGUCAACAGGGACGAAAAUGACGGUACCUGUGAAGGAAGCUCCGGCUAACUACGUGCCAGCAGCCGCGGUAAUACGUAGGGAGCAAGCGUUAUCCGGAAUUACUGGGUGUAAAGGGAGUGUAGGCGGGACUGUAAGUCAGAUGUGAAAUAUGCCGGCUCAACUGGCAGACUGCAUUUGAAACUGCGGUUCUUGAGUGAAGUAGAGGUAAGCGGAAUUUCUCGUGUAGCGGUGAAAUGCGUAGAUAUUAGGAGGAACAUCAGUGGCGAAGGCGGCUUACUGGGCUUUAACUGACGCUGAGGCUCGAAAGCGUGGGGAGCAAACAGGAUUAGAUACCCUGGUA
rnacentral:rRNA from 1 species